UGUGCUGUUUGUUUGUUUGUUUGUUUUUUUUCGUUUUUUAGCCUGAUUAUCGUAUUAUUGUAAGCCCCCUCGAUAAGCCUAGGUGCUUUUGGGGCAAACAAUGGAAAAUAUGUUUAAAU